GGACAAGUUUCAACCAGGAUAUGAAAAUGAACUGGAAGCAAACAACUUCAAAGGCAGAAUUGAGACUCUCCUUAGAAAUCUUGUGUAAUCCACUGUCUUGUGUAAUAUUAAGAGGCCUUCAAAAUAAGGACAGAAAUGCCAACUCUUCUAAGUUUGCCAGGAAAGGAGAAGUCUGAAUUUCCCCUUCUACUGAAGAAUGAGGAGCACCCUCCCCCUGCCACCUCCCCCCGCUCCCAGGGCGGGGGGGGGGCUCUACCAUCUUCUGCACCAGUACCAGGAAAGGCAGGUGAUGGGUUGGCCACCUCCAAGACAAUAAUGACUUAAUUAUGAUGUGUGACUCGGGCUUAGGGAACCUGCUGGCCAGGCAGCUGGACCUGCGAGGCUUGAGGGUGCUGGCCGCGUGUCUGACGGAGGAGGGAGCCCAGCAGCUGAGAGGCCAGACGUCAGACAGGCUGGAGAUGGUGAUCCUGGAUGUCACCAAGACAGAAAGCAUCUCUGUGGCUGCCCAGUGGGUGAAGGAGUGUGUGAGGAAGGAGAAAAGAACAAUGAUCUGGAUCCAAGACAACAUCUAAUUCUACUUAGUCAUACUCUAUGGUCCCGUCCAGAUCCAAGAGAUUAAACAUCAGAAGAGAAGCUCACAGACUGGAAUUUGGUCAUUCAGGGCAAGGAGGGGAAGGAAGUAUGCUCCAGGAAAUCUCCUAGAGCUGGAAGAAUGCAUCUAUUAGCUCUAUACCAUUUAGGAAUAAAGGAUAAUAGCUACAGAUUGAGUGCAUUGACCUUAGAUGAGCAAGGCCGACUCCAGUGAGCUAAUGGCUAGUAAGAUUCGCCAGUUCUCUGGGAUAAGGGAGACUGUCAGGUUUGCAGGACAAGUUAAUGCCAUGGGGAACAGAAUUCAUAAGAGUCAACCGGCCGAGAUGAAUUACUGCUAACCAUCGCUGCAGUAGAGAGUAAAGCACUUGCGUAGAAUCGGUCUGGAAAAUACAAGCAGGGAGAGUGUGUGGCUGGAAGUCUCACUGGGAAGCUACGUAGGGACAUGGCCAGUGCCCAAUCCUGCUGCAUCUGCUGGAAGAGUCCUGGGCUGAGCUCUGCAAGAGGGGUUUUUCCUUGCGCAGGCAGAGAUUCCGUGAACAGAAAGAGAACCAUGUCAUGUGCAGAAGAGUGCCGAGGCUGGUUCAGUCAAAACCGCGAUGCCAGGGUGCAGCCGAGUAGCUGAUCAAAGGACAGCAACAGCGGCAGCUCAUGUGCAAGGAAUGGCAGAGGCAUGCUGGACCAGGUGUGAGGAGAUGGAGGAGAGCAGCACAGAACAAAGACCAGGAGUGGUUUCCCUUGAUUCCUGUGAACUCAGCG